rnacentral:rRNA from 1 species
CGGACGGGUGAGUAACACGUGGAUAACCUACCUAUAAGACUGAGAUAACUUCGGGAAACCGGAGCUAAUACCGGAUAAUAUAUUGAACCGCAUGGUUCAAUAGUGAAAGACGGUUUUGCUGUCACUUAUAGAUGGAUCCGCGCCGCAUUAGCUAGUUGGUAAGGUAACGGCUUACCAAGGCAACGAUGCGUAGCCGACCUGAAAGGGUGAUCGGCCACACUGGAACUGAGACACGGUCCAG